UGCCCCCUGGCCCAGUUGGUGAAGGCGUCCGACUGUUACCCGGACGCGUCUUGAUGCACCGUCAGGUUACGCAGGAAGUUGGGCAUCGGGAGAUCGAGAGUUCGAGCCUCUCGGGGGCAG